UUGCUAAAACAAUUGUAGGGUUCAAGAAGGAUUAGUUGUUCUCAGCCUUAUCUCCCUAUGUAGAAAGGUUAUUUUCAUAUUUCAAACUCGUGAUCUUUAGUUAACAAUAAAGCAACCUUUCCGCUAUGUCAAGACUCAUUUUCUAUUUUAAUCUUGACGAUAUUUUUUUUUCAUAAUUAAAAAAAUCAAGAAAUAACAAAAUG
rnacentral:lncRNA from 1 species